GUUUGUUUUCAUAUUAAACCAGUGUCAGUGACGUCAUUCUACGCGACUACCACAGGUGAAGGUGCUGCCCACCCAUGAUGCCAGCAAGGUGCGUGCAAGUGGAUCCGGCCUUAAAACCACUGGAGUGCCCAGCUCUCUGCCAGUGAAGUUCAACAUUGAUGCCAAAGAUGCAGGACCCAGACGGGAAGCCCAAGAAGCAAAUAUCUGUGACAACCAUGAUGGGACCUACCUGGUGUCUUAUGUGCCAGACAUGACUGACAGGUACACCACACUCAUGAAAACACAUUCAAAAAUGUGAAAAAUGUGUUUUAAUGGUCGUUUUCAUAAAGAGAAACUUGGUACACGGAGCAGAUGUAAUGCUUAGUGGACCCUAGACGGUAAGUGGUUUCUGCCUGCAAGAUUAAGGCCUUAUUCUAUUCACUGCUUAUUAUGAAGUAGCUUUUCUUGCUUUCCUGCACGCACAGUCAUUCAAAUCAAGAUAUGAAAACACAGGAGCGACUAGUUUGUCCCCAAAGAUACAUCGGUGGGUGUAGGAUUACUAAGAGGCAUACAGGUAAAAAGCAUCAGUUUAAAAAUACAGCGGCAGUAAAAGGACCCCCAAAAGGUUACAGUACAGAAGAAACAGAAAUGUAUUUACGCGUGUUAUUUACUGUAGAUUAAUUAAAUUACUUUUAUAUUUCAAUCCAUACAGUAUCCACAUUUCUCAGUUUACCCCAUUCACGUUAAGCCUGAGUUUCCAAGGAGUACUGGGCUCUGUGCGAGUGUAUUGGCAGAACAAUGUGGUUAAGCUGACAAAAAUACACAUUUGCGAUUUAAUUCCUAAGCAAUGCUUUGACUUUGACCAGAGAAAAAUAAGCAUUAAAUACUCUAUAUUGGAGUGGUUUAUACAUGCUGCUCUGGUGUUUGCCUCACAUGAGCUGCUAACUUUCAAGACCGCCAUAAAUAAAACCUUUUUCUUUAUGAUCCCUGUUAAUCAACAAUUGUAGAAGCUGUACAGGACAGAAGAUCAUACAAAUCAUAUUUUAAAAUGUAUCCCCUAAAACACAAACUACACUUUUGUACUGUCAUAGAUGUCUUGAUGUCUGGUCACCCCAAGGGGCUGUUUUAUAAGAGCACCACCUCCAGAUAUCAGCAGAAAAAACAAAUCACACUUUAAAAUAUAUAAUAGUAAUUUUUCACGACAGGAGAAUGUUUUUCUGGAAUUUUUGGUGACCUAAUGUGAGGCAGCAGGUAUAAUAUUUCCUAUUCAACUGCAUAUUUUUGCUAUGAUUUUAAUCCACCACAGCUGUAACAGCAGAUACCUGGUUCUUUAUAAAGGUAAAACCUGCGUUGGGGGGCAUUAGGAUGACUCUGAUGGGCAAAAAGACUAAGACACAUCUCAUAUCAUAUAUCUGAUUUUGCUUAUUGAAAAACUCCCACUGACGGCUCUAUAUUUCACACUUCAUGGUGAAUGUGUGACAUCAGCUUAGCAGCAGUAUCUUCUUCCUAUGAUCAAAUUUACCACAUUUGAGUGACUGAGGUAUGACACAUACAAAAACAAACCCCAAACGCCUCUAAAAUGGCAAAGUCUGGUUGUACAUAAUAUUUUUCAUUCUGAUAGUUCAUC